AUUGAACGCUGGCGGCAGGCCUAACACAUGCAAGUCGAGCGGAGCGGCGGACGGGUGAGUAAUGCCUAGGAAUCUGCCUGGUAGUGGGGGAUAACGUCAGGAAACGGGAGCUAAUACCGCAUACUAUCAAAUGAGCCUAGGUCGGAUGAGCUUGUAGGUAAGGUAACGGCUUACCUAGUCGACGAUCGCUACCUGGUCUGAGAGGAUGUUCAGCCACAAUGGGAAUGAGCCACGGCCCAGAUUCCUACGGGAGGCAGAAGUGGGGAAUAUUGCACAAUGGGCGCAAGCAUGAGGAAGCCAUGCCGCGUGUAUGAAGAAGUGCUUCGGGUUGUAAAGUACUUUCAGUCGGGAUGCGUUAACGACAGAAGAAGCACCGGCUAACUCCGUGCCAGCAGCCGCGGUAAUUC
rnacentral:rRNA from 1 species